rnacentral:rRNA from 1 species
UACGGAGGAUGCAAGCGUUAUCCGGAUUCAUUGGGUUUAAAGGGUGCGUAGGCGGACUAUUAAGUCAGUGGUGAAAGCCUGCAGCUUAACUGCAGAACUGCCAUUGAUACUGAUAGUCUUGAGUUUGGUUAAGGUAGGCGGAAUGUAUAAUGUAGCGGUGAAAUGCUUAGAUAUUACACAGAACACCGAUUGCGAAGGCAGCUUACUAAUCCAUCAUUGACGCUGAGGCACGAAAGCGUGGGGAUCAAACAGGA